rnacentral:rRNA from 1 species
AGAGUUUGAUCCUGGCUCAGGAUGAACGCUAGCGGUGUGCCUAAUGCAUGCAAGUCGAACGGGAUCUUUUGGAUUCGUCUGAAAGUGAGAGUGGCGAACGGGUGAGUAACACGUUGGUGACCUACCCCAAAGAGAGGGAUAACCAUUGGAAACGAUGGCUAAUACCUCGGAUGUAUUACUAUUUAGAAAGGUAAUACUAAAGCUCCGGCGCUUUGGGAGGGGCCUGCGGUCCAUCAGCUAGUUGGUAAGGUAAUGGCUUACCAAGGCAAAGACGGAUAGGGGGCGUGAGAGCGUGACCCCCCACACUGGUACUGAGACACGGACCAGAUACCUGCGGGUAGCAGCAGCAAGGAAUAUUGCGCAAUCGACGAAAGUCGGACGCAGCAACACCGCGUGAAGGAUGAAGGCCUUCGGGUCGUAAACUUCUUUUCUGGGGGAAGAGAAAGGACGGUACCCCAGGAAUAAGUCUCGGCUAACUACGUGCCAGCAGCCGCGGUAAAACGUAGGAGGCGAGCGUUAUCCGGAUUUAUUGGGCGUAAAGCGCAUGCAGGCGGUUUACAAAGUCGGACGUGAAAGCUCCUGGCUCAACUAGGAGAGGCCGUUCGAAACUAGUAGACUUGAGGAUGGUAGAGGUGAGUGGAAUUCCCGGUGUAGUGGUGAAAUGCGUAGAUAUCGGGAGGAACACCAGUGGCGAAGGCGGCUCACUGGGCCAUUCCUGACGCUCAGAUGCGAAAGCUAGGGGAGAGAACGGGAUUAGAAACCCCGGUAUUCCUAGCCGUAAACGAUGUCAACUAGGCGUAGGAGGUUAUUGACCCCUUCUGUGCUGCAGCUAACGCGUUAAGUUGACCGCCUGGGGACUACGGCCGCAAGGCUAAAACUCAAAGGAAUUGACGG